rnacentral:rRNA from 1 species
GGAAUAUUGGACAAUGGCCGAGAGGCUGAUCCAGCCAUGCCGCGUGCGGGAGGACGGCCCUAUGGGUUGUAAACCGCUUUUGUUGGGGAGCAAUAAGGGUCACGUGUGACCUGAUGAGAGUACCCAGCGAAUAAGCAUCGGCUAACUCCGUGCCAGCAGCCGCGGUAAUACGGAGGAUGCGAGCGUUAUCCGGAUUUAUUGGGUUUAAAGGGUGCGUAGGCGGAUGAUUAAGCGUGAGGUGAAAUGCUGCGGCUCAACCGCAGAACUGCCUCGCGAACUGGGUGCCUUGAAUGUCCGUGCCGUGGGAGGAAUGUGUGGUGUAGCGGUGAAAUGCAUAGAGAUCACACAGAACACCGAUUGCGAAGGCAUCUCACGAACGGAUGAUUGACGCUGAGGCACGAAAGCGUGGGGAUCAAACA